GAUGAACGCUGGCGGCGUGCUUAACACAUGCAAGUCGAGCGAAGCACUUAUGAAAGAUUCUUCGGAUGAUUUCAUUUGUGACUGAGCGGCGGACGGGUGAGUAACGCGUGGGUAACCUGCCUCAUACAGGGGGAUAACAGUUGGAAACGACUGCUAAUACCGCAUAAGCGCACAGUACCGCAUGGUACAGUGUGAAAAACUCCGGUGGUAUGAGAUGGACCCGCGUCUGAUUAGCUUGUUGGUGGGGUAACGGCCUACCAAGGCAACGAUCAGUAGCCGACCUGAGAGGGUGACCGGCCACAUUGGGACUGAGACACGGCCCAAACUCCUACGGGAGGCAGCAGUGGGGAAUAUUGCACAAUGGGGGAAACCCUGAUGCAGCAACGCCGCGUGAGUGAAGAAGUAUUUCGGUAUGUAAAGCUCUAUCAGCAGGGAAGAAAAUGACGGUACCUGACUAGGAAGCCCCGGCUAACUACGUGCCAGCAGCCGCCGUAA
rnacentral:rRNA from 1 species